AUGCAAGUCGAACGAUGAAGCCCAGCUUGCUGGGUGGAUUAGUGGCGAACGGGUGAGUAACACGUGAGUAACCUGCCCUUAACUCUGGGAUAAGCCUGGGAAACUGGGUCUAAUACCGGAUAGGAGCGUCCACCGCAUGGUGGGUGUUGGAAAGAUUUAUCGGUUUUGGAUGGACUCGCGGCCUAUCAGCUUGUUGGUGAGGUAAUGGCUCACCAAGGCGACGACGGGUAGCCGGCCUGAGAGGGUGACCGGCCACACUGGGACUGAGACACGGCCCAGACUCCUACGGGAGGCAGCAGUGGGGAAUAUUGCACAAUGGGCGAAAGCCUGAUGCAGCGACGCCGCGUGAGGGAUGACGGCCUUCGGGUUGUAAACCUCUUUCAGUAGGGAAGAAGCGAAAGUGACGGUACCUGCAGAAGAAGCACCGGCUAACUACGUGCCAGCAGCCGCGGUAAUACGUAGGGUGCGAGCGUUAUCCGGAAUUAUUGGGCGUAAAGAGCUCGUAGGCGGUUUGUCGCGUCUGUCGUGAAAGUCCGGGGCUUAACCCCGGAUCUGCGGUGGGUACGGGCAGACUAGAGUGCAGUAGGGGAGACUGGAAUUCCUGGUGUAGCGGUGGAAUGCGCAGAUAUCAGGAGGAACACCGAUGGCGAAGGCAGGUCUCUGGGCUGUAACUGACGCUGAGGAGCGAAAGCAUGGGGAGCGAACAGGAUUAGAUACCCUGGUAGUCCAUGCCGUAAACGUUGGGCACUAGGUGUGGGGACCAUUCCACGGUUUCCGCGCCGCAGCUAACGCAUUAAGUGCCCCGCCUGGGGAGUACGGCCGCAAGGCUAAAACUCAAAGGAAUUGACGGGGGCCCGCACAAGCGGCGGAGCAUGCGGAUUAAUUCGAUGCAACGCGAAGAACCUUACCAAGGCUUGACAUGUUCUCGAUCGCCGUAGAGAUACGGUUUCCCCUUUGGGGCGGGUUCACAGGUGGUGCAUGGUUGUCGUCAGCUCGUGUCGUGAGAUGUUGGGUUAAGUCCCGCAACGAGCGCAACCCUCGUUCCAUGUUGCCAGCACGUAAUGGUGGGGACUCAUGGGAGACUGCCGGGGUCAA
rnacentral:rRNA from 1 species